AUUGAACGCUGGCGGCAUGCUUUACACAUGCAAGUCGAACGGUAACAGGCCGCAAGGUGCUGACGAGUGGCGAACGGGUGAGUAAUGCAUCGGAACGUGCCCAGUCGUGGGGGAUAACGCAGCGAAAGUUGCGCUAAUACCGCAUACGAUCUAUGGAUGAAAGCGGGGGACCGUAAGGCCUCGCGCGAUUGGAGCGGCCGCUGUCAGAUUAGGUAGGUGGUGGGGUAAAGGCUCACCAAGCCGACGAUCUGUAGCUGGUCUGAGAGGACGACCAGCCACACUGGGACUGAGACACGGCCCAGACUCCUACGGGAGGCAGCAGUGGGGAAUUUUGGACAAUGGGCGCAAGCCUGAUCCAGCAAUGCCGCGUGCAGGAAGAAGGCCUUUGGGUUGUAAACUGCUUUUGUACGGAACGAAACGGUCCUGGUUAAUACCCGGGGCUAAUGACGGUACCGUAAGAAUAAGCACCGGCUAACUACGUGCCAGCCGCCGCAGUAA
rnacentral:rRNA from 1 species